CCGAAAACGGUUCCACCUCUAAAGACCAUUCGUUAUUGUGCUACCUUUAUCUGUUGCACGCCAUCAUGGAACUCAUUGGGUUGCCAGUUGAGAAACUUUGUAAGCUAAGAAAUUAGGCUCAUGCUGCCAACUAUUAAAACGACUCUUAGAGUGCCAGCAGUCGCGGUCAUACUUUAGUUUAAAAUAAAGAGAACCAGGACAUAUGUAAGUUGAUUAACAUCUGUAGUGAAAUACGAAACACAAUACUUAAAUACUUUAACACCACUAAAUACUGGCCUCAAACAGGGAUUAGAUACCCCUUUAUGCAGUCCGCAAAACUUGUCCUGGGCACUAAGAUUACUUAAUUGAAACCCACCUAACAUGGCGGUAGUUUAAAUCUUUAGGGGAACUUACUAAUUAAAUGAUAACCACCAAGACAACAUACGUCAAGUCACAUUUUACAUACCGUCGUCGGCAGAUAUACUAUAAUAGGAUAUCAAUUUACCAUCACGUAAAAGGACAGAUCAAGGUGUAGACCAUCUUGACGACUUAGCGAGUUACAAUACUUAUUAAAUUCGCAUACUAGUUGAAUUUCUAUAUUAACGCCGGACUUAAAAGUAAUAGUUAUGAAGCAUACACUAUGAAUAGUUUUAAUCUGUGC
rnacentral:rRNA from 1 species